UUGUCUUGCUCCUUGGGCAUUUCCCCAGACUUGUGCCGCUGUGCGAUGCAGGCGGCUUUUUUUUUGCGCCUG
rnacentral:sRNA from 1 species